UACGUAGGGGGCAAGCGUUGUCCGGAUUUAUUGGGCGUAAAGAGCGUGUAGGCGGCUGGGUAGGUCCGUUGUGAAAACUCGAGGCUCAACCUCGAGACGCCGAUGGAAACCCUCCAGCUAGAGUCCGGAAGAGGAGAGUGGAAUUCCUGGUGUAGCGGUGAAAUGCGCAGAUAUCAGGAGGAACACCGAGUGGCGAAGGCGGUUCUCUGGGCCUUACCUGACGCUGAGGAGCGAAAGCGUGGGGAGCAAACAGG
rnacentral:rRNA from 1 species